AGUGAACGCUGGCGGUAGGCCUAACACAUGCAAGUCGAACGGCAGCACAGUAAGAGCUUGCUCUUACGGGUGGCGAGUGGCGGAUGGGUGAGGAAUACAUCGGCAUCUACUUUUUCGUGGGGGAUAACGUAGGGACACUUACGCUAAUACCGCAUACGACCUACGGGUGAAAGCAGGAGAUCUUCGGACCUUGCGCGAUUGAAUUAGCCGAUGUCGGAUUAGCUAGUUGGCGGGGUAAAGGCCCACCAAGGCGACGAUCCGUAGCUGGUCUGAGAUGAUGAUCAGCCACACUGGAACUGAGACACGGUCCAGACUCCUACGGGAGGCAGCAGUGGGGAAUAUUGGACAAAGGGCGCAAGCCUGAUCCAGCCAUACCGCGUGGGUGAAGAAGGCCUUCGGGUUGUAAAGCCCUUUUGUUGGGAAAGAAAAGCAGCAGGUUAAUACCCCGCUGUUCUGACGGUACCCAAAGAAUAAGCACCGGCUAACUUCGUG
rnacentral:rRNA from 1 species